CCAUUAACACAUUGGCAGACAAAUGCAAUAGAUUUAGAUUCUACUAACCCUAUA
rnacentral:tRNA from 1 species